AGUGAACGCUGGCGGUAGGCCUAACACAUGCAAGUCGAACGGCAGCACAGUAAGAGCUUGCUCUUACGGGUGGCGAGUGGCGGACGGGUGAGGAAUACAUCGGAAUCUACUUUUUCGUGGGGGAUAAUGUAGGGAAACUUACGCUAAUACCGCAUACGACCUACGGGUGAAAGCAGGGGAUCUUCGGACCUUGCGCGAUUGAAUGAGCCGAUGUCGGAUUAGCUAGUUGGCGGGGUAAAGGCCCACCAAGGCGACGAUCCGUAGCUGGUCUGAGAGGAUGAUCAGCCACACUGGAACUGAGACACGGUCCAGACUCCUACGGGAGGCGACAGUGGGGAAUAUUGGACAAUGGGCGCAAGCCUGAUCCAGCCAUACCGCGUGGGUGAAGAAGGCCUUCGGGUUGUAAGGCCCUUUUGUUGGGAAAGAAAAGCAGCAGGUUAAUACCCCGCUGUUCUGACGGUACCCAAAGAAUAAGCACCGGCUAACUUCGUG
rnacentral:rRNA from 1 species